GAACGAACGCUGGCGGCAGGCUUAACACAUGCAAGUCGAGCGCCUCGCAAGAGGAGCGGCAGACGGGUGAGUAACGCGUGGGAAUCUACCCAUCUCUACGGAACAACUCCGGGAAACUGGAGCUAAUACCGUAUACGUCCUUCGGGAGAAAGAUUUAUCGGAGAUGGAUGAGCCCGCGUUGGAUUAGCUAGUUGGUGGGGUAAUGGCCUACCAAGGCGACGAUCCAUAGCUGGUCUGAGAGGAUGAUCAGCCACACUGGGACUGAGACACGGCCCAGACUCCUACGGGAGGCAGCAGUGGGGAAUAUUGGACAAUGGGCGAAAGCCUGAUCCAGCCAUGCCGCGUGAGUGAUGAAGGCCCUAGGGUUGUAAAGCUCUUUCAACGGUGAAGAUAAUGACGGUAACCGUAGAAGAAGCCCCGGCUAACUUCGUG
rnacentral:rRNA from 1 species